CCCGCUGAACUUAAGCAUAUCAAUAAGCGGAGGAAAAGAAACUAACAAGGAUUCCCCUAGUAACUGCGAGUGAAGCGGGAAAAGCUCAAAUUUAAAAUCUGGUGGUCUUUGGCCAUCCGAGUUGUAAUUUAGAGAAGCGUCUUCCGCGCUGGACCGUGCACAAGUCUCCUGGAAUGGAGCGUCACAGAGGGUGAGAAUCCCGUCUUUGGCAUGGACACACCAGGGCUUUUGUGAUGCGCUCUCGAAGAGUCGAGUUGUUUGGGAAUGCAGCUCAAAAUGGGUGGUGAACUCCAUCUAAAGCUAAAUAUUGGCGAGAGACCGAUAGCGAACAAGUACCGUGAGGGAAAGAUGAAAAGCACUUUGGAAAGAGAGUGAAACAGUACGUGAAAUUGUUGAAAGGGAAGCGCUUGAGACCAGACUCGGUGAUUGGUGAUCAGCGGUAGCUUCUGCUCCGUGCACUUGCCUUUUACUGGGCCAGCAUCAGUUGCGACGGCAGGAUAAAGGUUCAGGGAAUGUGGCUCUCUUCGGGGGGAGUGUUAUAGCCCUGGGUGUAAUGCUGCCUGCCGCGACUGAGGACCGCGCUUCGGCUAGGAUGCUGGCAUAAUGGUCUUCAGCGACCCGUCUUGAAACACGG
rnacentral:rRNA from 1 species